AGAAGUUUAAAUAAAUCAUUUCAUGAUAGCUUCAUUUCAUAAUGGCUUAUUUAAAUAUCUGUAAUCGAAUACACGUAUUGCUGUGUGUAGUCUUUGCCUGUCACCUAAGACGGGCUUUUUUUUUG
rnacentral:other from 1 species